rnacentral:rRNA from 1 species
CUGCAGCUUAGUGCAGCCGACGGGAGGCUUGUGCAGACCUACAACCAGAAGUCAGUGUUGUCUAUACCCCAGCACAAAUUCUACAAGGGAUUGAACUACUUUGGGAUUGAUAUCGACGUGCACAGGUUCAACUACAUAUCGUGAAAGGGCUUCGAGACCUUCCGAGAGCAGCACACACAUGGCGCCAUUGAUCUUGAUCUAACCAUUCAGGUACUUAAGUUUCCUUCUGUUCUUGGCCUUGGGACCACUUGGCAUGAGGAGUAUUUUGUUCAGAGGAAGUCUAAUGUCUGA